rnacentral:lncRNA from 1 species
GCCAAACUGAAAGGUUUGCGGGGACCCAGACAGGCCAGUGUAAAAUUAGCUCUAAUUUAUGGGGGUGCCCCAGCACACUGGGCUCACCAGAAAAUCCCUGCUACUUUUGCUUUAUUUGUUGCUGUGAUGACUAAGGUUUGAAGGAGGAAGAAGAACCAUCAGGUAAACAAAGCACAGUUGAGGAACUGUGAGAGGGAACUGAGGGCCUGAACUUCACCUGGAGAAAAUAUCCCAAGCAAACCAAAAGCAGCUUGAGAUGGGAUCUCCUUGUUCUGGAGUGGUGUCGUGAGGCUCUCAAGGCACACUCCGACCAUGUGCUCUUCCAAGGAAUGCCUGCCCAAAUGGCUCACUCCUGCCCUGGACAUUCGACAAAACCAGUCCUGCUGCCCUGGCUGGGGACUGAGCUGGAUUCAAAGGCAGCCCUGUGUCAAGUGAUUCUGAGGGGUUGCUUGGGGAUAAACCACUGCCCCAUAAGAGUGCUCUGCCUGGGAAGCCAGAAAAUGGACCCAAUCCCAUCUCCUAGAACUCUUGGAAAAUAUAGGUUCUAUUUAUGGCAAGUACAGGUUCUCCC